CUCGUGCUGAGGAGGCGGGAAUUUAUGGUUAUCGUUAUUUACAUCUCCCUUUUCCAGCACAAAAUACUGAAGAGGGAAGUAAGCCUUGCUAAGCAGACCCUGAACAAGCAGUGUAAUCAACUUCUCAGGAAUUAAGCAGGAUGAGAUCCGCGGUUCUGUUCUUGCUUCUCAUCACUGUUCCACAAUGUUCCAGCAACAUUCAACCUGAAAUUAACAUUUAUCCUAAUCGGUCAACUCCCUGUCAAAGGUCUCCAAAUAAAAGUGCAUUUAAUACUUUUAUGAGCAGACACAUCCUCUUAAUCAAUUUCGACACAACAAAGCUGACUGAAUGGGGACGUUAUCUUGUUUCAAUGGGACUUUGUGACAGAAAACCGAAUAAAAAACAAUCCUUCCUCCAUAUAAGGGACACCCAAAGUAUUAUGAAAAUCUGCAAUGGUGAAGGCAUUACAUACAAAGGUAACCUGUGCAUCAGUACAAAAACGUUCUUGGUGUUUGUUGUUCAAAGCAAUUUAAUAAAUGGAAAUUGUGUAUAUGUAGUUCAGUUUGAGAUUACAUAUGUGGUUGUUGCUUGUGAGGCCAUUGAAACAUUUUGUUUGCCUGUUCAUUAUGAAAAACAAGUUUACACAGCACCUCCACAAAAUGGUCAGACCUGCAGAAGAACUAAGUAGAAUGUUAGUAGCAAAUAAAUUCUGCUUCACCUCCAUUCAAACUUUUUAAUGAUGCAUCUGGACUGUCAUUGAAUCAGAUUAAAAAAUAAUAAUUUCGUAUGUAA